rnacentral:misc_RNA from 1 species
CCAAACUUGGUCAUUUAGAGGAAGUAAAAGUCGUAACAAGGUAACCGUAGGUGAACCUGCGGUUGGAUCAUUAACUAAAUCCAAAACAAACCAAAAAGGAAGGAGAGGGAUGAGGGGGGAAGGAGGUCUGCGAGGUCAAUCAAAUCUUGUGCCUCUUCCCUCUCUCGCUCUCUCUUUCUGAUUUGCAACACCGUGUGCUAUUCCAAAUAGACAAAGUCUUGCCCAGUAUCUCUGAAUCAAUUUGGAGGUAUUGGGAUUUGGCCUUGGUCCAGGGCAGAAGAGCCAAUCUUCUGCCAAAGGACUGAGUUCAAAUACUUCAAAAACCCCAUAUCAAAUCAUGUUAAACCAUUUCUCUUUGGCAGCUCCAGACUCUUGUUUGGGGAGGCUAGGACAUAAAGAAAUACAGAAAACAACUUUUGACAACGGAUCUCUUGGCUCUUGCAUCGAUGAAGAACGCAGC